GAUGAACGCUGGCGGCGUGCUAAUACAUGCAAGUCGAGCGAACGGAUGAGAAGCUUGCUUCUCUGAUGUUAGCGGCGGACGGGUGAGUAACACGUGGAUAACCUACCUAUAAGACUGGGAUAACUUCGGGAAACCGGAGCUAAUACCGGAUAAUAUUUUGAACCGCAUGGUUCAAAAGUGAAAGACGGUCUUGCUGUCACUUAUAGAUGGAUCCGCGCUGCAUUAGCUAGUUGGUAAGGUAACGGCUUACCAAGGCAACGAUGCAUAGCCGACCUGAGAGGGUGAUCGGCCACACUGGAACUGAGACAUGGUCCAGACUCCUACGGGAGGCAGCAGUAGGGAAUCUUCCGCAAUGGGCGAAAGCCUGACGGAGCAACGCCGCGUGAGUGAUGAAGGUCUUCGGAUCGUAAAACUCUGUUAUUAGGGAAGAACAUAUGUGUAAGUAACUGUGCACAUCUUGACGGUACCUAAUCAGAAAGCCACGGCUAACUACGUG
rnacentral:rRNA from 1 species